UACAGAGGUCUCAAGCGUUGUUCGGAUUCAUUGGGCGUAAAGGGUGCGUAGGUGGCGUCGUAAGUCGGGUGUGAAAUUUCGGAGCUUAACUCCGAAACUGCAUUCGAUACUGCGGUGCUUGAGGACUGGAGAGGAGACUGGAAUUUACGGUGUAGCAGUGAAAUGCGUAGAGAUCGUAAGGAAGACCAGUGGCGAAGGCGGGUCUCUGGACAGUUACUGACGCUGAGGCACGAAGGCCAGGGGAGCAAACGGG
rnacentral:rRNA from 1 species